UAGAGUUAGAGGAGGUCACGGAGCGGGGACCACGCUGCGAGGCCAGGGAGAAGGCGGCAGAGAGGUUGGGGAAUGAGUCAGGGUUAGCCCUCCACUUUUACAACUCGGGGACCGAACUGGCCGGAGAGAGAACCAGUGACUUGUCCAAGGUCACAUCAGCUGGCUUGUUCUGACUCUGGGAGUGUGAAUGCAGGCCCCUCUUGCUCCCGGUGGCUCUUUGUGGGGAUGCAGUGAGGUACUUGGCGCCCAGUAAACACUUGCCCUUGUGAGUGACCUGUCCUGCUGAAACCCCUCCCUGAGGCAGCCUCUGCUGGGAGGGCAGCGGCCUCCCUGGGCAGGUGCAGCCUCUUCCUGCGUUUCUUCAGCAUGGGGGGGGGGCCUUUGCCAACAUAAACACUGUCGGGGACAGGCAGGUGGCUUCCUGUCUCAACACACGCCGCUCUGAAGGUUGCCCUUGAGGGAGCCCUGCGAGCAGCAGCCCCUUUUGGGCUGGGUGGCUGCGCUUUCCUAAAUUUCCAGUAUUUUCAGGGGUGCCCCAGUCUUGCAGGUGGGCGUAGAGAAAGAUUAGUGGGAGAGAGGGCGCGCGAUUCAGUUCGGGCUUGUCCUUAGAUCUGCAGGGUUGACCUUGGACACAGAAAGGCGGCCCAGACGAGCAUCACUUUAUUGGGUAACCCCUGCACGCGGGGCCGGGGAACCUGCUCUUCCCGGGUGGGUGUGUUGCCCCCCACCGGGAUGGGGCUUCUCCGCAGUGACCGCGCAGGCGUCCUGCCUUUUUCUGCUGUGUCACUGUCCUGAGAGGCGCGCGUGAAGCCGCUCAGGGGUUCCGCGGAGCAGCGAGGGAGACGAAACCAAGGAGUUUGGCUUCCCAGCGACAGGGGAAGAGGGAUGGGAGCGGGGCGCAUGCCCAGCACUGCCCCGGGACAUCUUGUCGUUUGAGCUGCCUCUCCGCAAUCCCUCUAGUCCCAGGGUAUUCACAGCCCAGCAAAGGGGUCGGUACCCCCCCAAGGGGGCGUAAAAGCACAUCAGUGAGAACACCAGCCACCGCCUGGGUACCAGGGAGAGCCCUCGGUGGCCGGGUCACGUGCAGACGUGGCUGCCCGGGGUCUAGACUAGCGUGAACCGCCUUGCAGUGCGACUGGUUUCCCGGGGAAGACUCGCCGGGGUGGGUCGGUCUCCUCCGCCUCCCAAGCCCCGGGGCCGGCGGCGCCCUGGGUGGGUUUGGCAAGUGUCCUGUUUGAGGUGGUUCAGGCCGCCCGCACGGAGCACAGCCGGUCGGUCAGAGGAGGGACGGGCCGGAACUUCCACCGCAGCGGCGGGGAGCGCCCAGGGGC